rnacentral:rRNA from 1 species
GGUGAUUCAUAAUAACUUUCGGAUCGAUUUGUAUAAAUCGAUGCAUCAUUCAAGUUUCUGCCCUAUCAGCUUUGGAUGGUAGGGUAUUGGCCUACCAUGGCUUUAACGGGUAACGGAGAAUUAGGGUUCGAUUCCGGAGAGGGAGCCUGAGAACCGUCGCGCGACCCGUACCAAUUUUGGUGACUCCGGGGGGCAACCGCCGCGCGACCCGUACCAAUUUUGGUGACUCUGGAUAACCACCCGCCGCGCGACCCGUACCAAUUUUGGUGACUCUGGAUAAUUCCGCCGAUCGCAUGGCCUUCGAGCCGGCGACGUAUCUUUCAAAUGUCUGCCUUAUCAACUGUCGAUGGAAGGUUACGCGCCUUCCAUGGUUGCUACGGGUAACGGGGAAUCGGGGUUCGAUGCCGGAGAGGGAGCCUGAGAAACGGCUACCACAUCCAAGGAAGGCAGCAGGCGCGUAAAUUACCCACUCCCGGCACGGGGCGGUAGUGACGAAAAAUAACGUUACGGGACUCUUCCGAGGCCCCGUGAUUGGAAUGAGUACACCUUUAAAUCCUUUAACGAGGAACCAUUGAAGGGCAAGUCUGGUGCCAGCAGCCGCGGUAAUUCCAGCUCCAAUAGCGUAUAUUAAAGUUGUUGCGGUUAAAAAGCUCGUAGUCGGAUGUCUGUCAUCGGACGGGCGGCGACGCUCUGAAUCAAGGGUGUUGCGUUUCACGCUCUGGGGGCCCGGGCGCCAAAGCCCGACUCUCUUCACGGUCGGACAACAUCGCCGCAGUGGUGGCCGGUGGGUCGCGUUGUAUCGGUGCGCGUGGCGUUUCUUUUUCUUCCUCUCCGGGGUUCGCUCCGUCGAGGGGGGGGGGAUCGCUCGCGGUCAGUUGACGCGGUUCGCUCCCCUUUCGGGGUGCCCUUCACCGGGAGUCUCGGGCGGCCGGCAACGUUUACUUUGAACAAAUUAGAGUGCUCAAAGCAGGUGUAUCCCAACGCCUGAAUAUCGCAGCAUGGAAUGAUGGAAUAGGACCUCGUUCCGAUUUUGCUUGUCUUUUCUUUUGGACCCGAGGUAAUGGUCAAUAGAGACGGACGGGGGCAUUCGUACUGCGGCGACAGAGGUGAAAUUCUUUGACCGCCGCAAGACGAACAACAGCGAAGGCAUUUGCCAAGAAUGUUUUCCUUGAUCAAGAUCGAAAGUUAGAGGUUCGAAGGCGAUCAGAUACCGCCCUAGUUCUAACCAUAAACGAUGCCAACCAGCAAUCCGUCGGAGUUACUCCAAGAACUCGACGGGCAGCUUCCGGGAAACCAAAGUCUUUGGGUUCCGGGGGAAGUAUGGUUGCAAAGCUGAAACUUAAAGGAAUUGACGGAAGGGCACCACCAGGAGUGGAGCCUGCGGCUUAAUUUGACUCAACACGGGAAACCUCACCAUGCCCGGACCCUGGAAGGAUUGACAGAUUGAGAGCUCUUUCUUGAUUCGGUGGGUGGUGGGGCAUGGCCGUUCUUAGUUGGUGGAGCGAUUUGUCUGGUUAAUUCCGAUAACGAACGAGACUCUAGCCUGCUAAAUAGGUGACGGGUUUUAUCAAUUGAAACCGAAGGGAGGACGGAGGAGGCGGGAUCAGGGGGCGGCGGGUCGGGGGGUAGGGGCCGGGUUCUUUAGCGGGCUCUUUUCGCGGCGUGGAUUCGGGUGGAAGCAAAAAGGAUGGGGGAGUUGGUGUUCGGGGUUUCGGCUCCGGGCGUUGUCCUGCCGGGCUGCGUCGCGAGGGGGUUUUGCGGGGGCUCGGUCCUUUGUUUCUCGGUCGACGUCAUCCCCGGCGAGACCUUCUGCUCGCGCGUCCCUCACGCAGUCUUCUUAGAGGGACAAGCGGCGGCCGGCCGCGUGACAGUGAGCAAUCUCUUCUUAGAGGGACAAGCGGCGUCCAGCCGCGUGACAGUAAGCAAUAUUUUUUAGAGGGACAAGCGGCGCCCAGCCGCGUGACAGUGAGCAAUACAAGCGGCGUCCAGCCGCGUGACAGUGAGCAAUAACAGGUCUGUGAUGCCCUUAGAUGUCCUGGGCCGCACGCGCGCUACACUGAAGGAGGUUCAGCGGGUUUCUCCCUCCCUGUCCGAAAGGACCGGGUAACCGCUGAACCUCCUUCGUUGGUUGGGAUUGGGGACUGCAAUGAACCCCAUGAACCAGGAAUCCCUAGUAGGCGCGGGUUAGUGACCCGCGCCGAUUACGUCCCUGCCCUUUGUACCCCCCGCAAGUCGCUACUACCGAUUGAAUGAUUUAGUGAGGCCUUCGGACGGGCUUGUCGGGGUGCCGUCGCGUGGGGAGCAAUCUCUGCGCGCGCGGUGCCUACCAACGGCGAGACUGAAAGAUGGUCGAACUUGUGAUCCUUUAGAGGAAGUAAAAGUCGUAACAAGGUUUCCGUAGGUGAACCUGCGGAAG